UAUGAGGUGGCCGAAUGGUUAAGGUGAUGGACUGCUAGUUCAUUGGGCCCUGCCCACGUGUGUUCGAAUCCCGUCGUGAUAU